rnacentral:lncRNA from 1 species
GCUAGCAUUCAUGCUUUCUGCUGGCCCGCUCUUGGCUCUCCUGUGGAAUUCAGUCCUCUGCUUCCAGGACAAGCCCAGCCUGCACUUGGGGAUCCUUGGGUGACCGUUCAACCUGCUAGUAAAUAAACCUCAGAAGAGAACAAAGAAAGUGCUUUGGUCCCGUGUAAGAGCAGACUUAGAGAAGAUAGCCCUGAAGAUGUGUAUGCUACUCUCUGGGUUAGCUGUGCUGACUGCCUCCUCCUGAUCCCAUGUCCAGAUCA